CCUACGGGCGGCAGCAGUGGGGAAUAUUGCACAAUGGGGGAAACCCUGAUGCAGCGACGCCGCGUGAGGGAAGAAGGAUUUCGGGAUGUAAAGCUCUAUCAGCAGGGACGAAAAUGACGGUACCUGACUAAGAAGCCCCGGCUAACUACGUGCCAGCAGCCGCGGUAAUACGUAGGGGGCAAGCGUUAUCCGGAUUUACUGGGUGUAAAGGGAGCGUAGGCGGGAGCGCAAGUCUGAAGUGAAAUCCCAGGGCUUAACCCUUGGCCUGCAUUGGAAACUGUGGAUCUGGAGUGCUGGAGAGGUAAGCGGAAUUCCUAGUGUAGCGGUGAAAUGCGUAGAUAUUAGGAGGAACACCAGUGGCGAAGGCGGCUUACUGGACUGUAACUGACGUUGAGGCGCGAAAGCGUGGGGAGCAAACAGGAUUAGAUACCCGGGUAGUC
rnacentral:rRNA from 1 species